CGGCCGCGGUAUCUUGACCGUGCAAAGGUAGCAUAAUCACUUGUCUCUUAAAUGGGGACCCGUAUGAAUGGCUUUUCAUCCUUUAACUGUCUCCCUUUUUUCCCACACAAACUUCUAUUUACGUGAAGAAGCGUACUUUAAAGAGAAAGACGAGAAGACCCUGUCGAGCUUUAGCUCAUCCUACUUACUUAUACUCACCCUUCUCCAGGAGAAAACCCUUGUAGGCCAGGCUUUGGUUGGGGCAACCAUGGAGAAAAAGUACCCUCCAGUUUUCUAGGAAGAGAACCACUCUCCUCCCCAUUUUCGAGAACCAAUAUUUUUGGAAAACGGAAAAAGUUACCGCAGGGAUAACAGCGUUAUCUUUUCUAAGAGCCCUUAUUGACGAAAAGGAUUGCGACCUCGAUGUUGGAUUGGGGUAACCAAAGGGUGCAGCAGCUCU
rnacentral:rRNA from 1 species